rnacentral:rRNA from 1 species
AGAGCUCCAUGCGUGGGAGAUUGAAGGUACCUGACGAAUAAGCCACGGCUAACUACGUGCCAGCAGCCGCGGUAAUACGUAGGUGGCGAGCGUUGUCCGGAUUUAUUGGGUUUAAAGGGUGCGUAGGCGGCCUUGUAAGUCAGUUCUGAAAUAUCCCGGCUUAACCGGGAGGGUGGGAUUGAUACUGAUGGGCUUGAGUGGAAUCGAGGUAGGCGGAAUUGACGGUGUAGCGGUGAAAUGCUUAGAUAUCGUCAAGAACACCGAUAGUGUAGACAGCUUACUAGACUCAAACUGACGCUGAGGCACGAAAGUGUGGGGAUCAAACAGGAUUAGAUACCCUGGUAGUCCACACUGUAAACGUUGAUUACUCGCUGUGUGCGAUAUACAGUACGCGGCUUAGCGAAAGCGAUAAGUAAUCCACCUGGGGAGUACGCCGGCAACGGUG